UACAGAGGGGGCCAGCGUUGUUCGGAAUUACUGGGCGUAAAGGGCGCGUAGGCGGCCUUCUAAGUCGAACGUGAAAUCCCUGGGCUCAACCCAGGAACUGCGUCCGAUACUGGAAGGCUUGAAUCCGGGAGAGGGAUGCGGAAUUCCAGGUGUAGCGGUGAAAUGCGUAGAUAUCUGGAGGAACACCGGUGGCGAAGGCGGCAUCCUGGACCGGUAUUGACGCUGAGGCGCGAAAGCCAGGGGAGCAAACGGG
rnacentral:rRNA from 1 species